rnacentral:rRNA from 2 species
AUUAGAGUUUGAUCAUGGCUCAGCAUGACUCGAGAUUGUCGUAACAAGGUAACCGUAGAGUUUGAUCAUGGCUCAGGAUGAACGCUGGCGGCGUGCUUAACACAUGCAAGUCGAACGAACCUUCGGGUUAGUGGCGGACGGGUGAGUAACGCGUGAGAAUCUGCCCUCAGGAGGGGGAUAACGGCUGGAAACGGCCGCUAAUACCCCAUAUGCCGAGAGGUGAAACGAAUUUCGCCUGAGGAUGAGCUCGCGUCUGAUUAGCUAGUUGGUGGGGUAAAGGCCUACCAAGGCAUCGAUCAGUAGCUGGUCUGAGAGGAUGAUCAGCCACACUGGGACUGAGACACGGCCCAGACUCCUACGGGAGGCAGCAGUGGGGAAUUUUCCGCAAUGGGCGCAAGCCUGACGGAGCAACGCCGCGUGAGGGAUGAAGGCCUCUGGGCUGUAAACCUCUUUUAUCAAGGAAGAAGAUCUGACGGUACUUGAUGAAUAAGCCACGGCUAAUUCCGUGCCAGCAGCCGCGGUAAUACGGGAGUGGCAAGCGUUAUCCGGAAUUAUUGGGCGUAAAGCGUCCGCAGGCGGUCUUGUAAGUCUGUCGUUAAAGCGUGGAGCUUAACUCCAUUUAAGCGAUGGAAACUGUAAGACUAGAGUGUGGUAGGGGCAGAGGGAAUUCCCGGUGUAGCGGUGAAAUGCGUAGAUAUCGGGAAGAACACCAGUGGCGAAGGCGCUCUGCUGGGCCAUAACUGACGCUCAUGGACGAAAGCCAGGGGAGCGAAAGGGAUUAGAUACCCCUGUAGUCCUGGCCGUAAACGAUGAACACUAGGUGUCGGGGGAAUCGACCCCCUCGGUGUCGUAGCCAACGCGUUAAGUGUUCCGCCUGGGGAGUACGCACGCAAGUGUGAAACUCAAAGGAAUUGACGGGGGCCCGCACAAGCGGUGGAGUAUGUGGUUUAAUUCGAUGCAACGCGAAGAACCUUACCAGGGUUUGACAUCCUGCGAAUCUCUUGGAAACGAGAGAGUGCCUUCGGGAACGCAGUGACAGGUGGUGCAUGGCUGUCGUCAGCUCGUGUCGUGAGAUGUUGGGUUAAGUCCCGCAACGAGCGCAACCCACGUCGUUAGUUGCCAGCAUUUAGUUGGGCACUCUAGCGAGACCGCCGGUGAUAAACCGGAGGAAGGUGUGGAUGACGUCAAGUCAUCAUGCCCCUUACAUCCUGGGCUACACACGUACUACAAUGCUACGGACAAAGGGCAGCAAACUCGCGAGAGCUAGCAAAUCCCAUAAACCGUGGCUCAGUUCAGAUCGUAGGCUGCAACUCGCCUACGUGAAGGAGGAAUCGCUAGUAAUCGCAGGUCAGCAUACUGCGGUGAAUACGUUCCCGGGCCUUGUACACACCGCCCGUCACACCAUGGAAGUUGGCCACGCCCGAAGCCGUUACUCCAACCCUUGUGGAGGAGGAUGUCGAAGGUGGGGCUGAUGACUGGGGUGAAGUCGUAACAAGGUAACCGUAGAAUC